UACGUAGGUGGCAAGCGUUGUCCGGAUUUACUGGGCGUAAAGAGCGCGCAGGCGGUCGUAUAAGUCGAAUGUGAAAUCCCCGGGCUCAACCUGGGAAUUGCAUUUGUGACUGCACGGCUAGAGUGUGUCAGAGGGGGGUAGAAUUCCACGUGUAGCAGUGAAAUGCGUAGAGAUGUGGAGGAAUACCGAUGGCGAAGGCAGCCCCCUGGGAUAACACUGACGCUCAUGCACGAAAGCGUGGGGAGCAAACAGG
rnacentral:rRNA from 1 species